UGACUCUCUGGUCUGAGGAAAGAGAGGAAGGAAGACAAAUGUAGGACCACCGACCUCAAAACAGAAGACUGUGUCCUUCUUUCACUGUGACUGAUGAGACACGGACAAAGUUGGGGGAUCGAACAAGGACUGUUCACCAAGGAAGAUGAAGGACAUAAAGGUCCUAGAUGUUUACCGGCUGCUUUACCUGUUGAAUCAAUGGUACUGCUUCAGAGUG